UGUAAGCGUAUACCAAAGUUGUUGCAGUUAAAACGCUCGUAGUCGGAAUUUGGCAGUUCCGGAUGUGUGCACGUCGUGUGCGCACUUCGCGGGGAUUGCUUUUGUGGUCUUGCGUAGGAUGAGGCACUUUUAUUAGUGAACGUCCUCACGCAACCACUUUUUACUGUGAGAAAAUCAGAGUGCUCAAAGCAGGCAUUUGCCGUGAAUGUAUUAGCAUGGAAUAAUAGAAUAGGACUUGGUUCUAUUUUGUUGGUUUGUUGGGACCGAGUAAUGAUUAAGAGGGACAGUUGGGGGCAUUUGUAUUUCGGCGCUAGAGGUGAAAUUCUUAGAUUGCCGAAAGACAAACUGCUGCGAAAGCGUCUGCCAAGGAUGUUUUCAUUGA
rnacentral:rRNA from 1 species